AUGGAGCGUAUGGCGGCAUCUUAUUUUCAGGAAGUGUACACAAAAGACCCAACCUUAUCACCUGAUUCUGUUCUAGAUCAAAUUCAGCCCAAAGUUACAGCUGAAAUGAAUGAGCGUUUGUUGGCUCCCUGUUCAGAUAAUGAAAUUUCCGAUGCCCUGUUUCAAAUAGGCCCGCUGAAGGUACCCGGGCCAGAUGGUUUUCCAUCCCGUUUUUAUCAGAGAAACUGGGGUUGUUUAAAGGAAGAGAUCAUAGCAACCGUAAGGAAUUUCUUCGUGUCUGGGCGUAUGCCGAGUGGGGUAAAUGACACGUCCAUUGUGUUAAUCCCCAAGGUCCAACAUCCUGCUUCUCUUAAGGAUUGCUGCCCUAUUUCUUUAUGUAAUGUGGUCUACAAGAUAGUCUCAAAAUGUUAG
rnacentral:rRNA from 1 species